UUACUUACCUGGCAGUAGGGGAUACCGUGAUCAAGUAUGCGGUGUUCCCUCCAAUGGAGACCUGGCAUUGCAACUUAGCUGGGUUGAAGUGUGCGAUCUCCCCAACGUGGGAGACUCGUGAUGCGCAAUUUUAGGUCAGUGGGUGACUGCGUCACGCGUCCCCCAC